AGUUACCACACACAUCUGAAGGCGUUGUGAGUAUGAACUUUGAAGACGAAAUUUUUGGCCAGCGGGAAGAUCUUUGUAUGGUCGGAGGUAUGUUAUUGUUUUGGUCAAGAUAGUAUAUGCUUCGUGGAACUGCAGGCUUUGUGCUGUUCCGAUUUAUGAGAUACGAAAAGCAGAACGCAAAAUGUGUUGCAAAAUUGUUGGAGAGAGAAUAGGAAACCUAAGAUACAUUGACAGUCUGGGAGUUAAGAACGCAUCGCAAAUUCGGUAGUACCACAACAGAAUGACUACAGGAGCGAAAUGUACACCUCGCCACUCUAAAUUGGGGCCCAGCUCAUCGUCAGACUGCAGACCAUAUCUAAGCUCUUAUGGGGUGUGAUGGUUACAGAAACAUCCGCCAGCUUGUCACAAGGUAGUAACGUUGAUGACUGGGCUGAGGAUGCUGUUUUGUUCAAGACUAACCCACAUCUUGUUUUGGACAAUCCCUCCACCACUCCAAAUGCUCCACAAAAAACUGAGGCUUCAUCAUCAUGAAAGAUUGCCCAUCAGGUCUCGAACAUACAAGGUACCGUGGCGAAUAAGUUCCGCUGCCAUCGUUAGCCUGAUGUUCCUUCCAUGGUGUGGCCAAGAAGGGGAACAAUUUGGCGUCGCACUUCUGUGUAUUGAAUUGAACUUGUGAUCGCCAAAAGACUGCUAGUGUUUCACCACUACCAGCAAGAGAUUUUGGACUAUGCUUCAUCGUGUGUCAGUCUCCCUGAUGCCACCCACUCAGACCAGGGGCACUACCCACAGGUGCCACCUAGCCACAGCAAAGGCCACAUGGCAGGGCGGCCAUUGUCGGAUGUCCGGAUGCCCCAGGGGGAUGGGUAUCUACCCCUUGGCAUACGUGUGGAUUUAAUGGCACAGGCAUCAGCAGAGUGAUCCCUGUGUGGUCAGGGGCUACAACCAACACGGUACAUGGUGGACCCACCACGACGAACUGGCUACCAUUCUGGAUAUCGGGUGCAAAGAAAUACAUGGUCAUCGUCGACACAGAAAGUGACACUGCACAAUUCAUGGUGGAAAACACAUCCAGGAAGGUGUCCUCGCCCAAGAGAUGGGGAAUAAGCGGGACUGAGAUGCGACAAUGAGGAAGUGGGCUAAAGAUUUCAGUGCACGAUGGACAUUAUGCACCAUGUAAGGCUCCCUUCCCCAAUUGGCUUGAUCUUUGGGAAAAUUUUGAAGAAUGGAGUUCAAAACCAUACAGGGGACUGUAACAUAAAGACCGAAACAUGGGAAACUCCUUUUAAUUGCCUCUUAUGACAGACAGGAAUACCUCUGGCCUAUUCUUAUCCCUGGACGUGCAGGGCGAGAACCAUCAGUGAUUUCACAAAAGCAAAGAUGACUGAUGUGAAUCUACUACUUACUAUCUAAACAGUUUGGGGAUGACUGCAAGAGCAUAGGAGAUUUAGAUUUCUGUGGGAACUUCAUAUUGUAACGGGCAGUGAGGAAGAGGUUUGUACAUCAGCUUGUGGUUGCAUGAAAGGAGCAUGAGGACCUUACCAAAUAUUAAGAGAAGCUACUAUCUAAACAUUUUGGGGGUGACUGGAAGAGCAUAGGAGAUUUAGAUUCUGUGUGAACUUCGUAUUGUAAUGGUCAGUAAGGAAGAGGUUUGUACAUCAGCUUGUGGUUGCUUGAAAGGAGCAUGAGGACCUUACCAAAUAUUAAGAGAAACCAAAAGAAUGGCCAUUCUCAAGAUUCUAUAAAUCAAAAUAUUUACCUGAAAGACAUGCUGAAUUUGAUAUGAAAUGAUUAAUGUGAACAUAUUUAUUGUGUAAUAAAAAUGUUUUCAAAGACAAA